rnacentral:rRNA from 1 species
AGUUUAACUGGGGCGGUUGCCUCCCAAAAUGUAACGGAGGCGCCCAAAGGUUCCCUCAGCCUGGUUGGCAAUCAGGUGUUGAGUGUAAGUGCACAAGGGAGCUUGACUGUGAGACUGACAGGUCGAGCAGGGACGAAAGUCGGGACUAGUGAUCCGGCACUGGCUUGUGGAAGCGGUGUCGCUCAACGGAUAAAAGGUACCCCGGGGAUAACAGGCUGAUCUUCCCCAAGAGUCCAUAUCGACGGGAUGGUUUGGCACCUCGAUGUCGGCUCGUCGCAUCCUGGGGCUGGAGUAGGUCCCAAGGGUUGGGCUGUUCGCCCAUUAAAGCGGCACGCGAGCUGGGUUUAGAACGUCGUGAGACAGUUCGGUCCCUAUCUGGUGUGGGCGUUGGAUGAUUGAUGGGAGCUGCUCCUAGUACGAGAGGACCGGAGUGGACGCACCGCUAGUGCACCUGUUGUGUGGUCGCAUGCAUCGCAGGGUAGCUAUGUGCGGAAGUGAUAAGCCGCUGAAGGCAUCUAAGCGCGAAGCACGCUCCAAGAUAAGUAUUCCCUAUGA